GAGGGUAUAGCUCUAGUUGUAGAGCACAUGCUUAGCAUGCACGGGUUCCUGGGUUCAAUCCCUAGUACCUCCA
rnacentral:tRNA from 1 species